rnacentral:rRNA from 1 species
UACGGGGGGGACAAGCGUUGUUCGGAUUAACUGGGCGUAAAGGGCGCGUAGGCGGACCCUCAAGUCGGGUGUGAAAACUGGUGGCCUAACCACCAGCCUGCACUCGAUACUGUGGGUCUUGAGUAUAGGAGAGGAAAGCGGAAUUCCAGGUGUAGCGGUGAAAUGCGUAGAUAUCUGGAAGAACACCAGUAGCGAAGGCGGCUUUCUGGCCUAAUACUGACGCUAAAGCGCGAAGGCUUGGGUAGCAAACAGGAUUAGAUACCCCCGUA